rnacentral:pre_miRNA from 1 species
GAACUACUCCCUCUGUCCCAAAUUUCUUUUCUUAGAUUUGUCUAGAUACGGAUGUAUCUAAUACUAAAAUGUGACUUGAUACAUCCGUAUCUAGACAAAUCUAAGACAAGAAUUUUGGGACGGAGGGAGUACUUU